CCUCCCCACCGGGGCGGAAGCCGGGUCCAGCCGGCAGAAGAUCCGGGGCUAGGGCAAAAAGGGUAGUCCUGCGAAGACUGAAGGGUGAGGACGGGGCGCCCACUCUGCGCGUGAUCGCCGGCACUGCGCGUGCGCCCAGGCGCGGCCCGGGUGACAGGUCAUAACAGACUUCAGAUUAGAAGGGAAAUGCCUGCUGGAAGUAAAAACAACAUGAUGAUUGACCACAGUGAAGAGACAGACAAAUCUUGAACCAGGAAACCACACGUCUAACUUAUAACCUCUGGAGAUAUUGUCAUCAUACAACUAGCAUAAUUUAUUGAUAUCCAUAAAGCUCAUGGUCUCAAUCUAUCCCCCUCCAAGCUGCCAAUGUGAUCUCUCAGAGAAGGAACUGCCACUGAGGCCCUUUGCAGCUCCUUAAUGCCAAGGGUGAAUAUUUCAAACUAGCAUGCAAAGUCCUUCAUGAUCUGGCCCCUGCAGCCCUGUCCAGUCCCAUCUCAAGACAGAGCACCAUUCAUUCCUGUAACUCAUAUGGAGCAACCUGUGCUUUAGAACUCCAGGCCUUAGCUCACGCUUCCCAAUGCCUGAGAUUCCUUCCUUCCACCAUUCAUCUGGCAAAAACACACGCACUUUUCAAGAUUCCAUGCACCUGCCUUCUCGGACUACCCCUUGCCCAAAUCUAUUGAUCACUUCAGCUUUGUGCCUCCUCCAUCUCCAUACUCUGUGCAGAUUCCAUCAAAAUUACUGUUUAGAGUGUUCAUUUCUGACAUGUCUGUUCUAUGUAGCCCCAGAUGCUGGGCGUAUUAGGGCCAGAGCCAGGUCUUAUUCAUCUUUAUGUCUCUAAAACUUGAACCGUGCCUACUGAAUAGUAUUUGUCCAGUAAAUUUGUGUGGUUACAUGAAAAUACAGAAUAAAUUGAUGAAUAAUGAAUAAAUGCCCAAUUUCCACAGUGCAAUUAGGGAAAUGGGUAAUGGUUUAGGAAGGUUUCUAGCUCCGAGUAUUACAGCCUCUUAAAAAUAUUUUGGUUGUUUUAAUAGAGAAUUAUCAGUAUCUGGAUGGAUUCAUUGAUUCAGAAUAUCUCCAAUCAAAUCUGUUAGGGUUUUGUACUAUUGCUAGCUGUUAAUAGACCUACUGCUCCAGAUAGAAGGAGAUGGCUGGCUUCUUGCCAUGCUUUCUCCAUCACUGUAUCACUCACCAUCAAUAAAGAUAAAUAUGCUUUAUAAAUACCUUUAUAAAGGCUUUUA